GUACUGAAUCCAUAUUUUUCAUGUUUUAUAUACCGCACCCUCUUAAAUUAAUUAAACUUUGACACUAUUUGAGAUAAAGGUAUCAAACCAACUGUAAAAUAUUCAGAAUAUUAUUCCCUAUGAUGAACAAGUCUUGUUUUUUCAAAUUAUGCCUUUGUUGUUUUUAAAAACAAUAAUGAAACCAUGUUUUUCAUAUGUUUUAAAUAUCCAUUUAAAUGAAUUAAACUCUGACACUAUCUGAGAUAAAGGAAUCAAAAAAUAAGAGCAGCAAAUUGUUUAAUUGGCAAAAAAACAAAAACAAAAAAAAAACACGGAUGGCCAAUGAAUGUCAAACCUUAAACUAAGUCUACCACCGUCAACAAGUUGUUUAACUGUGUCACUUCAAAACAGGUUCAAAAACAAGCGUGACAGACACUUGGGUCAAGAUAAGACAGGAAAAUAUGGCAUGAAACAAAAUCAGUAUCAUCAAAAUAUGGGUGUUGAUACAGGUAUAACCAGCUCGGAGCAAACUGUUUCAUGCAAUGAAAAGAGAUGCAUUUAUGUAUUUCAGACAAUAUUUUCCCCUUUUAUCUUUUAAUACACGUUGAGUUCUGUUGCUUUAUCAUGAUUCUAGUAUUGGUCUUAACGUUCAUCGUUGGACAGAUUCAAGCUGGUCCAGAAAACAGGCCAAGCGUGUAAAGUUACAGCUUUAGCGUUUAACUUGAGGAUAACCACAGAUUUCCUGGUUGCUCUGGCUGGUUAUGUCAUUAAGUGCUUUGACAAGGGUGAGACACAUUAUAAUAUUAUUUCUAAUAAAGGCCUGCAAAUGGUUAACUGGUCUUCUAAGAUGGUUAAACUACUGUUUCCAGCUAGUGAGCUGGAUGCUGGUCAUGAAGGUGCCAUUUCUUCCCUGUCCAUCCACAGUUCAGGCAGCUACGCCAUCAGCACUUCCUCAGACACGGCUCAGCAAACCUUGAAACCUUUCAUAGAAAGAGGAAGCUUAAUGUUCGUCAAUCAGUUGGCGUACAAGAGGUUUGACGUCACUUAUCUGUGCUUAAACGUUAUAUUAUAGUAACAGCUCUGCGUCAUUCUCUCAUCCCUGUGUGUUUUUUUGUUGUUGUUGUUGUUGUUGUAGGUGUUUUUUUCUGAAAAGUUCCUAAAAAGUUUGCUCCUAUUGUCCAGUUUAUAUGUUUAUUGUGGAAAUAACUUGCACUGUAAUAUUCUUUCCCCAGAUUCUGGGUGUUUUAAGCCAUUAUCAAAAUUCAGUCAUUCAAACAGCUCUAUGAAAUAGGGUCCCAUGAGGAUGCCAUCACGGUGGCAGCCAUUUGUCCUAAAGGCCACCAUAUAGUUGCUGUGAUGGACAGUGGUGCUCUGUGAAUAUAUGAUGCACGAAGCCUUACCCCAGAAAACAGUAAGCCUCCCCAGCCUUUGUUGAAACAGGUCACUAAAGGCAAAAGCAGUGAGAGAUGGUGUUUGAAAAUGAAGUUUAUGCUGGGGCAGAUCAGCAUGUGAAAACAUCAGGACACAGAAUCCAAUCUAAAGUUUUACCAUCUGCUGUUUCCACACUGGAUGGCUGGUAAUUUUGUUCUGUUUUUUAUUUUUUAGUUGUGGAUUGGGUGCCUAUGACACCUUCUGUAUUGCUUUUUCAAGACAUUCUCUUUUAUUUAACAACCCCUUAUUUAACUUAUUUAAUCCGUUUUGAGUAGAAUGAUUUGCCUAAUGGCCCUAACAAGAAAACACUACAAGCAUUACUAAGAGCAUUUGGAGAAUACCCAGCCAAAUACAUGUAAUGUAAUAAAUGUGUCAUGCAGAGGCAAUGAUAUUUUGUUGAUUUAAUGUGAAGCUGUAGUCUGUGUCUCCACUUUAUUUGUCUGUGUGUUUUUGUUUUCCCGGCAGGAUGUUUAUUUGGCGUUCUCUAUUGCAUCUCCCUGAGAACCAUGCAGCUUUCAGCAUUCUGGCCUGAACUCAUCUUUUCAUUUCUGACCUGGCAGACUGCCGUCUGCUCUUGCUCAUACGGCUGCUGUGUUUAGUGAGAUUAUUUAUCUCCCACUGCUGGCUUUCCCAUUUAUCAAGCUGUUCCAGAACAAUCCACUAAUCUGCAAGACAGUAGUGUAUCGGGUGACAUACCUUAGGUCUUUUUGGCAGUGAUUCAACGAUUCGGUCCGUAGCUGAGAGACGUUAAGUGUCUUGAAUUGCUCUUUUACAGUGAUCUGGUUCCAGCACUGGUUUGAGUACUUUCCCAACCCUACACUUAAUGCGCUGAAUCUGGCUGAGAAUAUGCUCGCCAUCAUGAUAAAGAGCUUCUUCGGCAUUUUGUUGCCUGUGGCAUUACCUAACAGAUGGCGCUGCGAGAUCAGGAGAAGGUGGCUUCCGUUCAAGACAUAGAAGUAAGACAGAUGGAACUUGAUGCCCAGAGACAACUGUUUUUGAAAAGCAACUAGCCAAAUAGCAAGAGAGAGUAAGCCAAACAUUGAGAGCCGAAGUGGAUACAAGGAGAUGCUGGGCUGAGAUGGAAGAUUCUAUAUUUCAUUCAGACGGAUGCAGAUAUCAGCCAGAAAAACAAAAAGAUGCUGGUAGAAUCUCUGGCAGAGGUGGGACAGAUGGAAGUGGAUGCUGAUUGGCAAGCCAAGGUGAACCAUCGACUGGAAAAGAGAGAGGAAAGGCAGGAGAAGCAAAGAGAGCGACUUGUGAACCUCAGCAAACAGACACAUGCUAAAGAAGUAGUCGUCCAGCUAAUGCUGGAAGUAUAGAACGAAAGCAGAUCCUCAGAAGGAAAAGAGACUCUGAUAUCCCCGCUCGUCUAGAGGCCUGCUGCGCAAGACUCAGAGUUCUUCAGGUUGUGGCCGAGGGGAGCUUGACUAAGGAAAGGGAGUUGAUGCAGGAAAUUAGAGAACUGAGGAUGAAAUAAGCUGCCAGAGCCAGAGCGACUGACUUCAUCUCACCCUCAACCAGCUCUGUACACUCUCACUGACCACACAGACACCACCAGUACUCCACCAGUGUGUGUGGAACCAGGCACACGUUCAAGAGGAACGUGAAAGAAAAUGUAUUUAGAUCAUAUAAGAUGUCUGCUCAGUUUAUAUUUGCCUCACAAUGGAGCUAAUCCCAGUUGGACAUAGAUUUAUUCAUUGAUUUCAGAUUCAUUCUGAUGAUGUUUUUAAUAUUUUGUAAAUGUAGUUUUUUCUUCUUCUUUUCAGAAUUGUUCUUGAAGUAAAUGUCUUUUGUAUUACCGUUUUCAUGUUUUUUUAUUAAUAAAUUAAAAAGGUG